rnacentral:rRNA from 1 species
UGGGGAAUAUUGCACAAUGGGCGCAAGCCUGAUGCAGCCAUGCCGCGUGUGUGAAGAAGGCCUUCGGGUUGUAAAGCACUUUCAGCGGGGAGGAAGGCGGUGAGGUUAAUAACCUCCUCGAUUGACGUUACCCGCAGAAGAAGCACCGGCUAACUCCGUGCCAGCAGCCGCGGUAAUACGGAGGGUGCAAGCGUUAAUCGGAAUUACUUGGCGUAAAGCGCACGCAGGCGGUCUGUCAAGUCGAAUGUGAAAUCCCCGGGCUCAACCUGGGAACUGCAUUCGAAAAUGACAGACUAGAGUCUUGUAGAGAGGGGUAGAAUCCCAGGUGUAGCGGUGAAAUGCGUAGAGAUAUGGAGGAAUACCGUAGGCGAAAGCGGCCCCAUGGACAAAGACUGACGCUCAGGUUCGAAAGCGUGGGGAGCAAACAGG